AACGAACGCUGGCGGCAUGCCUAACACAUGCAAGUCGAACGAGACCUUCGGGUCUAGUGGCGCACGGGUGCGUAACGUGUGGGAACCUGCCCUUAGGUUCGGAAUAACUCCCCGAAAGGGGUGCUAAUAUCGGAUAAUGUCUUCGGACCAAAGAUUUAUCGCCUUUGGAUGGGCCCGCGUUGGAUUAGCUAGUUGGUAGGGUAAAAGCCUACCAAGGCGACGAUCCAUAGCUGGUCUGAGAGGAUGAUCAGCCACACUGGGACUGAGACACGGCCCAGACUCCUACGGGAGGCAGCAGUGGGGAAUAUUGGACAAUGGGCGAAAGCCUGAUCCAGCAAUGCCGCGUGAGUGAUGAAGGCCUUAGGGUUGUAAAGCUCUUUUACCCGGGAUGAUAAUGACAGUACCGGGAGAAUAAGCUCCGGCUAACUCCGUG
rnacentral:rRNA from 1 species